AGAGAGAGACUGAAGGACAGGGGUGUGGAGGUAAAGAGAGAGAGACUGAAGGACAGGGGUGUGGAGGUAAAGAGAGAGAGACUGAAGGACAGAGGUGUGGAGGUAAAGAGAGAGAGACUGAAGGACAGGGGUGUGGAGGUAAAGAGAGAGAGACUGAAGGAUAGGGGUGCGGAGGUAAAGAGAGAGAGACUGAAGGAUAGGGGUGCGGAGGUAAAGAGAGAGACUGAAGGACAGGGGUGUGGAGGUAAAGAGAGAGAGAGACUGAAGGAUGGGGGUGCGGAGGUAAAGAGAGAGACUGAAGGACAGGGGUGUGGAGGUAAAGAGAGAGAGACUGAAGGACAGGGGUGUGGAGGUAAAGAGAGAGAGACUGAAGGACAGGGGUGUGGAGGUAAA
ensembl:lncRNA